AUUGAACGCUGGCGGCAGGCCUAAUACAUGCAAGUCGAACGAGUGGCGGACGGGUGAGUAAUGUCUGUGAAACUGCCUGAUGGAGGGGGCUAACUACUGAAAACGGUACCUAAUACCGCAUACCAUCGGAUGUGCCCAGAUGGGAUUAGCUAGUAGGUGGGGUAAAGGCUCACCAGGGCGACGAUCCCUAGCGGGUCUGAGAGGAUGACCAGCCACACUGGAAAUGGGACACGGUCCAGACUCCUACGGGAGGCAGCAGUGGGGAAUAUUGCACAAGGGGCGCAAGCCUAAUGCAGCCAAGCCGCGUGUAUGAAAAAGGCCUUCGGGUUGUAAAGUACUUUCAGCGGGGAGGCGUUACCCGAAGAAGAAGCACCGGCUAACUACGUGCCAGCAGCCGCGGUAAUAC
rnacentral:rRNA from 1 species